UCAAUGGGAAGCACAAAAUAAAAAGGCACUUGGAAGUUUCUAGUUUUUCAAAGUCAACUAGAGCAAUGU
rnacentral:sRNA from 1 species